rnacentral:tRNA from 1 species
ACUGAAAGGGACAAAAGUGCAAAAUACUGCUAAUAUCUAAGUCUGUGAUUAAAUUCCACAGCCCUUUCA